rnacentral:rRNA from 1 species
CAAUAGCGUAUAUUAAAGUUGUUGCAGUUAGAAAGCUCGUAGUUGGAUUUCUGGUCGGAAGCUCCUGUCCUCUGAUGAGCGUACAAGUGCGUCCUACCAUCCUUCUGUUAACCUUUAAGGCUUUCGCGGCUUUCUAGGGGCUCAGAUAUUUUACCUUGAGAAAAUUAGAGUGUUUCAGGCAGGCUAGCGCCGGAAUACAUUAGCAUGGAAUAAUGGAAUAGGACUUUUGCCUCUUCUGUUGGUCAUGAGGCUCGAGUAAUGAUUAAUAGGGAUAGUUGGGGGCAUUAGUACUUAACUGUCAGAGGUGAAAUUCUCGGAUUUGUUAAAGACUAACUUAUGCGAAAGCAUUUGCCAAGGAUGUUUUCAUUAA